UAAGCAACCUGCCCCAAAGACCGGGACAACGUUCCGAAAGGAGCGCUAAUACCGGAUGUGCCCGACGGGUGACAUCGCCUGUCGAGUAAAUCGAGCAAUCGGCUUUGGGAGGGGCUUGCGGCCUAUCAGCUAGAUGGUGGGGUAAGAGCCUACCAAGGCAGAGAUCGGUAGCCGGCCUGAGAGGGCACACGGCCACACUGGCACUGAAACACGGGCCAG
rnacentral:rRNA from 1 species